rnacentral:rRNA from 1 species
GUGUCAGCCGCCGCGGUAAUACGUAGGGGGCAAGCGUUGUCCGGAAUUAUUGGGCGUAAAGAGCGUGUAGGCGGCCAGGUAGGUCUGCUGUGAAAACUCGAGGCUCAACCUCGAGCUGUCGGUGGAAACCAUCUGGCUAGAGUCCGGAAGAGGAGAAUGGAAUUCCUGGUGUAGCGGUGAAAUGCGCAGAUAUCAGGAAGAACACCCGUGGCGAAGGCGGUUCUCUGGGACGGUACUGACGCUGAGACGCGAAAGCGUGGGGAGCAAACAGGAUUAGAAACCCUCGUAGUCC